UACGAAGGGGGCUAGCGUUGCUCGGAAUCACUGGGCGUAAAGGGCGCGUAGGCGGCCAUUCAAGUCGGGGGUGAAAGCCUGUGGCUCAACCACAGAAUUGCCUUCGAUACUGUUUGGCUUGAGUUUGGUAGAGGUUGGUGGAACUGCGAGUGUAGAGGUGAAAUUCGUAGAUAUUGCAAGAACACCAGUGGCGAAGGCGGCCAACUGGACCAACACUGA
rnacentral:rRNA from 1 species